rnacentral:tRNA from 2 species
UCCGAUAUGGUGUAGUGGUUAACAUCCCGCGUUUUCACCGCGGAGCCCGGGGUUCAAUUCCCCGUAUCGGAG